rnacentral:lncRNA from 1 species
NNNNNNNNNNNNNNNNNNNNNNNNNNNNNNNNNNNNNNNNNNNNNNNNNNNNNNNNNNNNNNNNNNAGCUCUGAAGUUCUUUCUUCUACUUGAUGAAUUAUAUUGCUGAGACCUUCCAAAGCAUUUUGCAUUUCUCUAAGUGUCUCCAUUUUUCCCUAAAGUUUUGAUUGUUUUAUAUUUGUGCUAUUUUUUUGAAUAUUUCUCCCUUCACUUGUUGUAUCCUUGUUUUGAUUUCUUUACACUGGGCUUCAUCUUUCUCUGGUGACUCUCUGGUUAGCUUAGUAGCUAACCUCCUGAAUUCUCUGUCAGGUAAAUCAGUGAUUUCUUGUUGGUUUGGGUCCAUUGCUGGUGAGCUAGUGUGAUCUAUUGGGGGUGUUAAAGAACUUAUUUUGUCAUAUUACCAGAGUUGGUUUUCUUGUUUCUUCUCAUUUGUGUAGGCUCUGUCAGAGGGAAGGUCUAGGGCUGAAGGCUAUUGCUCAGAUUCUUUCGUCUUACUCGGAGUUCCCUUGAUGCAGUACUCUCCCACUUUUCUUAUGGAUGUGGCUUCCUGUGAGCCGAGCUGAAGUGAUUGCUAUCUCUCUUCUGGAUUUAGCCACCUAGCAAGUCUACUAGGCUCCGCGCUGGUACUGAGGGUUGUCUGCACGGGGUUAUAUGAUGUGAACCUUCUGUGGGUCUCUCAGUCAUGAAUGCCAGCACCUGUUUUAGUGGAGGUGGCAGGGAGGUGAAAUGGACUCUGCGAGGGUUCUUAGCUUUGGUGGUUUAAUGCACUAUUUUUGUGCUUGUUGGCCCCCUGCCAGGAGGUGAAAUUUAAUUUUUAUGGACUUACCAACAGUGUCCAGUAUUAACUAACUGUAAAUUCAUGUUAAUAAUUUCCUAUAGCUUAAUCCCUUCUUUUCAGAUUCCUCUUUUCUACAACAACAAUCCUAAGACUAAUAAUCAGCAGACAUCAAAUCAAGACAUGUUAGGAGUCUUAAAAUACUACCUGAACCUAGAAGUAUGGACAUCUUACUUGAUAUAUGUAUGAUAUUGGGUAAAACAAAACACAAAAUUGUCACGAGAAGCCAAAGCUAUUAAAAUAGACCUUUACUUUUUCACUUUCUUUUAAUUCACUUGAAUGUUGAGUGCAGACAUUGCAUACAUGGUAAGAUUCAUGCUGUUAUUUCAAAAUUAUAUUAUCAGUUACAGAUACAUUCCAUUUUUACAUUUACCCUUAAAAUAAGUGAUGCCCUUUAACAUUAUGAUGUGUGAUUAUACCACACAAAAAAUGAUGGGAAAACUUAAUAUGAAAAAUAAAAAGAAACUUAAAGACUAUUUUUUGUUAAAAAUAUUUAAGAGCAUUAGACAAUUUCUCCAUUUGGUUUUCACAAAC